GGGGGGGCCGGGACAAGGGCUGUGCGGACUUGAGAGAGCGGUGGCUUUCUAGCCUGGCGUAGACAGAGAAUGCUGACAGGAGCGACCCUGCUGCUGCUGCUGCUGGCCUGCCUCCAUGUGCAGGGGAAGCCGCGCGCUCAGAGUCCGGGCUGCGAUGGAUACCUGGGCUCCGGGAAGGUGACGGACUCCUGCGGCGUGUGCGGAGGCGACAACGCCACCUGCAGGUUGGUCUCGGGAGUGUUCCAGCACUCCCUGUCCAAGAUCGGCUACCACAAGAUCGCGGAGAUCCCGCCAGGGGCCACCAAGAUCAACGUGACGGAGAUGGCCAAGAGUCGCAACUACCUAGCGCUCCAAAGCCGAUCAGGACGCUCCAUCAUCAAUGGCAACUGGGCCAUCGACCGCCCGGGGAAGUUCGAGGGCGGGGGCACCAUGUUCACUUACCGCCGACCCAACGAGAUCAGCAGCACCGCUGGCGAGUCCUUUCUGGCCGAGGGUCCCACCGAUGAGAUCCUGGAUGUCUUUGUGAUCUUCCAACAAGCCAACCCGGGUGUUCUCUACGAGUACAUGGUCCCCUCGGAGGGACAUGGACGCCAACCGAACCACACGCCUGAAGGGAACGCAGUAAACGAGCAAGAAUACCACCCGGCGGGCGGAGGGCGCUAUCCCGCUACCGUCAAGCCCCCCAGACGCGAGAGGGACUACGAGUGGAAGAUGGUUGGAAAGAGCGAGUGCAGCGCCUCCUGUGGUAAAGGUUCCAGGUAUGCCGUCUUCCACUGCGUCCACCGACUGAACCGAGUCCAAGUUCAGGACACUUUGUGUGACAGCAACAGCAAACCGACAUCGCAGGAAGAACCCUGCAACCUGGAGUCCUGCCCGGCAUUUUGGGAUAUUGGCGAGUGGUCGGAAUGCAGCAAGAUGUGCGGCCUGGGCAUGCAGCACCGCCAGGUCCUGUGUCGCCAGGUUUACGCCAACCGCACCCUCAACGUGCACACCAGCCGCUGCAGCCACCUGGAGCGGCCCGAGACCGCCGGCACCUGCCAGAUGAAAAUCUGCAGCGAGUGGCAGAUCCGCUCGGAAUGGAGCGCGUGCUCGGUGCCGUGCGGGCUGGGUCAGAGGUCACGGGAGGUUCGCUGUGUCAGCAAUGUGGGCGACUUUGUUCCGGACGCCGAGUGCAACAUGAACCUGCGGCCCGUCGACUUAGAGAACUGCGACAUGGGAGCCUGCGCCAAGAGCUGGUUCUACACUAACUGGGGCGAUAAGUGUUCCACUGAGUGCGGGAUGGGCGUCCGUACACGAGGCAUCCUCUGCCUGACCAACCACAUCAGCAGCCUGCCUUUGGAGGGCUGCGGAAGCGAGCGGCCCCCGCACACCCAGGUGUGCAACAACGGCCCCUGUGAGAACGCCAUGGAGUGGUUCACCGGGCCCUGGAGUCAGUGCUCUGCAGAGUGCGGCGCAGGCAGCCAGCAGAGGGCGGUGGUGUGUCUGAUGAGAUCGCCCGACGGCUUCGCCGUGGCGCCUCAGUACGAGUGCUCGUCGCUGGAGAGGCCCCUCGGCCAGCAGAGCUGCAACGUGAGAGCUUGCGGCGCCAAGUGGUACUACACCGACUGGAGCGCCUGUUCCAAAACAUGCGAGGGAGGAUUCCGUGUGCGUGAGGUGCGAUGUCUCACCGAAGACAAGCAGUCCGGCAGCAGCUGUGAUGAGCAGCUCAAACCAGCAGCGCGGGAAGACUGCAACCCGGAGCCUUGCGUACCUCAAACAGACGACCACUGCAAAGACCAGUUCUUCAACUGCAACGUGGUGGUCCAGGCCCGUCUAUGCGUCUACGACUACUACAAGGACGCCUGCUGCGCUUCAUGCUCGCGUCACCCGCACAGACAGUCCGCCGUCCACAGGGGGCGCAGCUAACGAUCACAUCCAGGGGGCCCUGGGCUCCACGUGGGGGACUUUGAACUUCUUGUUAUCUGGGGACAGAAAGUAGGAACAUUGUGUGUGUGUGUGUAUGUGUGUGUGUGUGUGUGGGGAGCAAGGACGCAGCUAAAAUCAAACCCCACCCCACCUCCCCCAGGCAGCUGUUCAUAAUAUUUAAAAAAACAAUUUGCUUUUUUUUUUUUCUUUAAUCGUCUUAACUUUUCCUCAUGUGUGAAGGAUGUGGAAAAGACAGUAAUCCACUCAAUGGAUGGACAAAUAAGUGAAAAAGGUGAUGCCGUGUGUAUUAUUAUUAUUAAUAUUAUCAGAAUUAUUAUUAGUAGUAUCAUCAUUUUAUUUAAAGGCCUACUGAAAUGAGAUUUUCUUAUUUAAACGGGGAUAGCAGGUCCAUUCUAUGUGUCAUACUUGAUCAUUUCGCGAUAUUGCCAUAUUUUUGCUGAAAGGAUUUAGUAGAGAACAUCCACGAUAAAGUUUGCAACUUUUGGUCGCUGAUAAAAAAAAGCCUUGCCUGUACGGGAAGUAGCAGAGGAUGUGCGCGUGACCUCACGAGUUGUGGAGCUCCUCACAUCUGAACAUUGUUUACAAUCAUGGCCACCAGCAGCGAGAGCGAUUCAGACCACGAAAGCGACGAUUUCCCUAUUAAUUUGAGCGAGGCUGAAAGAUUUGUGGAUGAGGAAAGUGAGAGUGAAGGACGAGAAAAAAAAAUAGAUGGCAAAGCGAUUCAGAUGUUAUUAAACACAUUUACUAGGAUCAUUCUGGAAAAUUCCUUAUCUGCUUAUUGUGUUACUAAUGUUUUAGUGAGAUAAUAUGAUCGCACCUGAAAGUCAGAGGGGUGUGGUGACCGCCAGUGUCUCCGAGGGAAGCCAUGUUCCUCGACGAGGCGAAGGCAGCCAAUGCUUCCUCCACGUUGGAAGCAUCCGACGGUCGGGGGCGGCCGGUGGGAGGAGGCAAGAGAGUCCGCAGCUGCCUCUUUGACAGGUGCAGGAGGAACGACGCAAGCUCUCUGCUCAUGUCUACGGUAAGAGCCGACUUAUUACAACCAUUUUCUCACCGAAACCUGCCGGUUGACAUGUGGAAGGGAACCUUGUUUGCUUGACCGCUCGGUUCCGUAGUAAAGCUUCACCGUCAUCUUUCGGGAAUGUAAACGGGACGGCGUGAUGCAGUGGGAGAGUGGCCGUGCGCAACCCGAGCGUCUCUGGUUUAAUCCCCACCUAGUACCAACCACGUCACGUCCGUUUUGUCCUGAGCAAGACAGUUCACACUUGCUCCUGAUGGGUGCUGGUUAGCGCCUUGCAUGGCAGCUUUCUCCAUCAGUGGGUGAAUGUGUGUGUGAAUGGGUAAAUGUGGAAGUAGUGUCAAAGCGCUUUGAGUACCUUGAAGGUAGAACAGCGCUAUACAAGUACAAGUACAACCCAUUAACAAGGAAACACCGGCUGUGUUUGUGUAGCUAAAGGCGGCCGCAAUACACCACUUCCCACCUACAUCUUUCUUCUUUGACGUCUCCAUUAUUAAUUGUACAAAUUGCAAAAGAUUCAGCAACACUGAUGUCCAUAAUACUGUGGAAUUAUGCGAUGACAAGAGACGACGUAUACCUGUGAACGGUGCUGGACCAAAAUGUCCUCUAUAAUGCGUGACAUCACGGGCACGCGUCAUCAUACCGCGACGUUUUAGCAUGAUACUUCCGCGCGAAAUUUAAAUUUGCAAUUUAGUAAACUAAACCGGCUGUAUUGGCAUGUGUUGCAAUGUUAAUAUUUCAUCAUUGAUAUAUAAACUAUCAGACUGCGUGGUCGGUAGUAGUGGGUUUCAGUAGGCCUUUAAAUUGGUCAGUUCAAACAAUCAGCUCUCGUGUUGCAUUCGUGGAAACUGGGAAGUAUGCACUUCAAUGGGAACGUAAAGAAAAAAAAACGGAAAGCAAGUAUUAUUUUUUUUGUGUCAACAGCCCAGACAACAUUUUGUUUUCUUUUCAUUUCAUUACACCAUCUUAUACCAGAUAAUGUAACGGUAAACAUUGACUUGUUUAUACAUUUUUAAUUAGCCAUUCAAAAGUUAGAAGUUAGCAACACUACCAUCUAGUGGCGGCUGGUGGUAAUUGCGGAAGGCACUAUAAUUGGAACGCCGAGGACAAAAGAGUAUAAGUAAGCCACGGUAAUUUGUAAUGAAUGAUUAAACAAUUGCUGUCACUCACAGAAACACUUUGGCACAAAAAAAUCCACUUCUUCAUCGAGCAGGGUAAAAGGAAGACAAAGAUGGACUGACCCCACCAAAGCCUCGGAAGCGAGCCAGCACUUGGUUGUCGAUGAAACAGCUCUGCGCCGGGUCAGCCAGGGCCUGAUCCAGCAGGUGGUUGAUGAAGUAGAUCCCAGGCUCCACAGUUAGCACCAUGCGCUCCUGAACCAGGCGGCCCAUCCGAAGGCUCCUCAGCCCGGGUUCGUUGAUCCGCUCCACCCCCUGUGGCGGACAUAGAGGUUACCGCACGCCCCCGCCCUCGUCUUCUCCGCGUCCACACCGACUCACCUCCGGGUAGCCGCCCACAUCGUGCACGUCGAUGCCCAGCAGGUGUCCCAGUCCAUGGGGCAUGAAGACGGAGCCCAUGUGGACCUUCAUCAUGUCGUCCACGUUUCCCUUCAGGAGGCCCAUCUUCACCAGCUCCUCCAGGUGGACCCGGUCAGCCAGGCGG